rnacentral:rRNA from 1 species
GUAGUCUCGCACAGAUGCAUAUCAAUAAGCGGAGGAAAAGAAACUAACAAGGAUUCCCCUAGUAACGGCGAGUGAAGCGGGAAGAGCUCAAAUUUGAAAUCUUAAAGGGUUUCCCUUUACGAAUUGUAGUUUAAAGAAGUGUUUUCUGUUGAGGUUUUGGUAAAAGUUCUUUGGAAUAGGACAUCAUAGAGGGUGAGAAUCCCGUAUUUGACCUUUACUUUCAACUUUGUGAUACACUUUCAAAGAGUCGGAUUGUUUGGGAAUGCAGUCCAAAAUGGGUGGUAAAUUUCAUCUAAAGCUAAAUAUUGGCGAGAGACCGAUAGCGAACAAGUACCGUGAGGGAAAGAUGAAAAGAACUUUGAAAAGAGAGUUAAACAGUACGUGAAAUUGUCAAAAGGGAAGCGUUUGACACCAGUGUUGUUUUUCUGAAAAUCAAUUAAAGAACUGUUUAUGCUAAGUUGUUUAGACUUUAUCAGCUAACUGUUUAGUUUUGAGCUUUUCUUUAAUGCACUUUUCAGUUAACAAGUCAACAUCAAUUUCUUUUGCUGUAAAAAAGCUUGAGGAAGGUGGCUUGAGAUUCGUCUUAAGUGUUUAUAGCCUCUUGCCUAUGCAGUCGGAGAGAUUGAGGUCUGCAGCGUAGAUCCUUCGGGGCUAAAUGCAUUUGUGCUAAGUUAUAGCAUUUUAUAGACAACUUGUUGACUAUGAUUUGUCUUGUAGCUUACUCGCUUAUGUUAUUUUACCUACGCUUAGGAUGUUGACAGCAGUAUAGACUGU